ACUGUAGAUCGGCGACACUCGUCGCCGGCAGCCGCGUACAGGAGCAUGGGAGGAAGGAGAAGAAAGAGGGGAAGAAGAAGGAGACUCACCUCGGCCUCCGGUGACCUCACCGGCGAGAAAUCACGAUGAGAAACCAAUAGUGCCCACGGCUCUUCUUCAGGAAAAUCGGAGAGAAAGAGAGGGAGAAGAGGCCGAUGGAUCGAUUCUAAAGAGAGGGGAGACCUUCUUAUAGAGGGUCCUAGGAUUUCGAGAGAUCCUAGGACUCCUAAUAGGCUUGGGUCUCGUCGGAGAAGAAGACUCCUACCGGGUGUCUUCUUCCCGAUUUUUACUCUUGUUUUUUUUUUUUCUUUUUCGUUUUGGGCUUGGGUCUAUU
rnacentral:lncRNA from 1 species